rnacentral:rRNA from 1 species
UACGUAGGGUGCGAGCGUUAAUCGGAAUUACUGGGCGUAAAGCGUGCGCAGGCGGUUCGUUGUGUCGACGGUGAAAGCCCCGGGCUUAACCUGGGAAUGGCCGUUGAAACUGGCGAACUGGAGUGUGGCAGAGGGGGGUGGAAUUCCGCGUGUAGCAGUGAAAUGCGUAGAGAUCGGGAAGAAUACCAGUGGCGAAGGCGUUCUGCUGGGCCGUUGCUGACACUGAGGCGCGACAGCGUGGGGAGCAAACAGG